rnacentral:rRNA from 1 species
UGGGGAAUUUUGGACAAUGGGCGAAAGCCUGAUCCAGCAAUGCCGCGUGUGUGAAGAAGGCCUUCGGGUUGUAAAGCACUUUUGUCCGGAAAGAAAUCCUUGGCUCUAAUACAGUCGGGGGAUGACGGUACCGGAAGAAUAAGCACCGGCUAACUACGUGCCAGCAGCCGCGGUAAUACGUAGGGUGCAAGCGUUAAUCGGAAUUACUGGGCGUAAAGCGUGCGCAGGCGGUUUGCUAAGACCGAUGUGAAAUCCCCGGGCUCAACCUGGGAACUGCAUUGGUGACUGGCAGGCUAGAGUAUGGCAGAGGGGGGUAGAAUUCCACGUGUAGCAGUGAAAUGCGUAGAGAUGUGGAGGAAUACCGAUGGCGAAGGCGAGCCCCCUGGGCAAUACCUGACGCUCAUGCACGAAAGCGUGGGGAGCAAACAGGAUU